CAGGACUUGCUUUUAAGUAAGUUCUCCUGGGAGGAGGAGCAGAGUCAAUUUAAGUUUUACAACAAAUUGGCAGUUCAGCCGGGGUGGGGCCACUCUGACUGAAUAGGCUCUUACAAAAGCCAUAAUUUUCCUGCCUGUGGGAAGGCCAGGAGGAGUGAAGAGAGGAGGUUCACUCCCUGGAUCUGAGCACUUUUCCUAGAAUUCAGGCACGUGUUCUCCUGUGCUUUACAUUAUCGACAGCUGGUGACAUCCUCUGGCUGAUGUAGAAAACGAAUAGUGAGGGCGGUGGAAAUGAACCCUUUGGAAAUGUGAUCAUUUGUCCUGUAUCAAAUCUUAAUACUGAAAAUUCCCUUUUCUGGACCAAGACGAACAUUCAUAUAGUCCUGCUACUUCAAGUAGAGGCAUCGGCAUUGCCAGGAAUCUUGUUAGAAAUACAGACUAUCCAGUCCCACUGGAGACCCAACUGUGGGGGCCACAGACUGGCUGCCCCAAAAUGGGUCACUUUGGCUUGAAGGUUAUUUUCAGUUAAAAGGCAAUCAAAAUCCAGCAGAUUCAGGAAAAACUCUUAUCCACACACCAUCCCCCCCCAGCGUAAAAAGAAUUGAGAUAGGGUAUCUGCUCCAGGAAGACAGCUAUCACUGUAAAUAACUACAUUAUACUGUGAAUUAAGUAUGGUAGACAGGGAGGAACUUAGCAAAGUCUGUCUGAUCAAAGUCCUCUAUGUCCCAUUGUCUCUGAGUCCUCCAGCAAACAUUUGCUUAGCAAAUACUUACUUUUACAUCUUCUUGUGAAUUACUUCCUUCCCUUUGAAGUCCCAGACCCCUAACCCCUUUUCCUUAGUUCAUAAUGACGUAGAAACCUCAGUUUGUCUUUGAAAUUUCCAUGUCUGCGUGGAUUCCCUGUAAGCACAUCAGAUUUAAUUUUCUCUUAUUAAUCUGUCUCAUGACGAUUUGAUUCUUAGUCUGGCUAGAAGGAUGUUGUAAGGAACAGGAUAGUGAUAGUGUUGAUCUUUGACAUAAUGAAAAACAAUCUGUAUUUUAGCAAAAUCCCUAGGUAAUUUGUAUGCACAGUGAGAAGCACUUGUCUUCAACACACUUUGUUAUUGUAAAAACCUUCUGAACACAAGAUGGCGCUGUUUCCUAUCUAUUUGGCUCCUCCCUCAGCUUUGAGCCCUGUUCACUCUAAAGCUGGAUGAGGUCAGUGAGUGUCUGUAGAGGGCUGUACAAGCUUGUCACUGAUUGGGUAGGAAGCAGAAACUUUCUCCCACAGAUGAACUUCAGUAACACCCACCAGACUAAAGGGAAUGGCUUUUCGUUUCAGGAGAGUGAGUCCACAUGCCAGGCCACCCCUGGGGAGAAGAAUGAAACUGUUCCUGGGAGUUAUUCUGGUGAUUUUGUGGUUUCCAGUGGACUGGGUAAGCAGCCAAAAGAUGGAACAGAAUCCACAGUCCCUGAGCAUCCAGGAGGGUGAGAAGGUGGUGCUGACCUGUAACUACACGAAUUAUUCUCCAGUGGUCUUCCAGUGGUAUCGACAAGAUCUGGGAAGAGACCUUGUCUUCUUGCUACUAAUACGUGAAAAUGAGGGUGAAAAACAGACAGGAAGACUGAGGGCCACCUUUGAUAAGACCCUCCAGCAGAGUUCCUUUUAUAUCACGAAGUCCCAGCCUGCAGACUCAGCCACCUACUUCUGUGCUGCAGACACACAGCAGGGCCCUGCCACCUGCUUCCUGCACCCAAACUCUGCCAGUGGCUCAGUCAGCAGAGCUGCUGGCUGUGCUGACCUCAAGGGCUGACCCCAGCUCCAGGCCGAACAAGUGGGGGCCACUUGAAAGGGUUAAAGGCUGUGAGCCAGAGCCCUGGAUCUACCUCCAGCCUCUGAGUCUCUCCCUGCUGAUACCGCUGUGUGACUAUGAGCAGCUCCUGAGAAUCGCUGGUCUCAUUUGCCUCAUCGGAUCAUGAAGUGCUUACCACAUGAUUCUCAAGUUUGUCUCAGCAAUGAAAUCCAAACAGUCUAAUUUUUUAGGAAAAAGAAAUAUGCCCUGAAGAAUGCCGGAGAUCAAGAAAAGAGGAUUUAUGUGCAUGCAUGCACAUGUUUGUGUAUAUGUGUAUCUGUGUGCGUGUUUAAGGACAAUUAAUUCUGCCCAGUUUUUGUGACUAGGCCAGAACAGCCUGAGACAUAUACAGGGUUAAACACAUUCCUUUUAAACAUUAACUGUAUAUUCCUCCACAUAAACAACAACAGCAAACAAACCAGUCUAAACAUUCCUGAGACCCUUUUAAACUGAACCUCAAAUAAUGAUGAUGGUAAAAAUAAAAAAUUGACCUGUGUUUAAAAAAAAAAAAAAUUCAACCAAGUAAAAUUGAAGAUCUAA